UGGAGUAGGGUUGCCCUUUUCUGGUUGGGCCUUGUAAUAGUUGGGCUUGCCCCAUAUUCUAAAUAAAAUUAUUGAUGGAAAAAAAAAACUUUAAGAGUUUUAGUUAUGUUUCCCUAACGAAAGGUAACUACAAAAAAAUUUAGUUUCCUUUUCCUUUUGUGUUUAAUUAUUUUAUUUAAAAAUAUUUUUAACUUUUUCCUUCUUUUUUUUUUCCAUUCAUAGUAAGUUCCAAAUCUCUUCUGCGUCUUGUCUCCUCCACGAACCACAGCUCCGUCAGCUCCAGCAUUGAGUUGCGUCGAGCUCCCACAGCGAGAACUUCCACCACGGGAUGUCUUUGUUUCUGCUGCAUUCGUGUCGAAAUAUUACCUCCGCAUCACUCUGCGAAAUGACCCUAAUCAGAGAUAAACUCGGAUUUCUCGAAUUUUUUUUGUAAUUAUUUUGUUCUAUCUUAAAAAC
rnacentral:lncRNA from 1 species